rnacentral:rRNA from 1 species
CGAACGGCAGCGCGGGGCAACCUGGCGGCGAGUGGCGAACGGGUGAGUAAUAUAUCGGAACGUGCCCUGGAGUGGGGGAUAACGCAGCGAAAGUUGCGCUAAUACCGCAUACGAUCUAAGGAUGAAAGCAGGGGACCGCAAGGCCUUGUGCUCCUGGAGCGGCCGAUAUCUGAUUAGCUAGUUGGUGGGGUAAAGGCCUACCAAGGCAUCGAUCAGUAGCUGGUCUGAGAGGACGACCAGCCACACUGGAACUGAGACACGGUCCAGACUCCUACGGGAGGCAGCAGUGGGGAAUUUUGGACAAUGGGCGCAAGCCUGAUCCAGCAAUGCCGCGUGAGUGAAGAAGGCCUUCGGGUUGUAAAGCUCUUUUGUCAGGGAAGAAACGGUAUGGGCUAAUAUCCCGUACUAAUGACGGUACCUGAAGAAUAAGCACCGGCUAACUACGUGCCAGCAGCCGCGGUAAUACGUAGGGUGCAAGCGUUAAUCGGAAUUACUGGGCGUAAAGCGUGCGCAGGCGGUUUUGUAAGUCUGUCGUGAAAUCCCCGGGCUCAACCUGGGAAUUGCGAUGGAGACUGCAAGGCUAGAAUCUGGCAGAGGGGGGUAGAAUUCCACGUGUAGCAGUGAAAUGCGUAGAGAUGUGGAGGAACACCGAUGGCGAAGGCAGCCCCCUGGGUCAAGAUUGACGCUCAUGCACGAAAGCGUGGGGAGCAAACAGGAUUAGAUACCCUGGUAGUCCACGCCCUAAACGAUGUCUACUAGUUGU